AAUUAUAUAAGUUUAACCAAUAUUUUUAAUUAAAUUAUCAUGCAUGUGAUUAUUACAGACCAUUAGGUUGUUUCACAGUUUGUAAUUUUAUAAAAGUUAAUUGAGUUUAUGUUAAAACGAUAAAAUUGGUGCCAGCAGUUGCGGUUAGACUGAAGUAUAUUUAUUUUAAAGGAAAAAGUUUUGUUAUUUUUUUAUUUUUGUCUGGUAAAAAAUAAUGAAAUUUAUAAAUUAUAGGUUCAGAUUUAAAUUAAUUUAUAAAAUAGGAUUAGAUACCCUAGUAUAUUAAAGGUUAGGCCUCAAGAAUAAAAUUAAAUUGUAAAAGUUUGGCGGCUUUAAAAUAUUAGAGGGGCUUGUAUGUGAACGAUAAUCCGCGUUUUAUUUUACUUUUUAAAUUUUUGUAUAUCGUUAUGUAAAUAAAAUUUAGUUGUUUGUUUAUUAUAUUAAAUCAAGAUGCAGAGACGAGAUAGAUUUAUUAGCCACAUUAUAUAACAAUAAACGAAAAAUUAAUGUAUCAGGAGGAUUUAAUUUUAAUGGUAAAAUUAUGAAUCUCAAUUUAAAGUGUUCAGAUCGCCCGUCAUUCUCUAUGAGACAAGUCGAAACAUAGGAGGUUUGUUGGAAAAGAGUCCUG
rnacentral:rRNA from 1 species